GCUUGUCAGGUGGUAGCAAGGACUAUGGAAGAAAAGUUUUAAACAGGGUGGGCAGGCAUUCAAGCAAAGGAAGAGGCUGGGGGUUGUCUGCGCAAGAGCAUUACCCAUGGAGGGUACAGAGAGGGCCGGGCUCGGUGGUGCAGCAAGGAGUGUGAGCAGAAGGUAGGUGGGAGGGAUAAUGGGCUGUGAGUCUGAGCGUUUGGGUUUUCCUCAGCGUGCAGUGGGACCUUCUGGAGAGUUCUGAGGAAAGGAGUGAUGUGCUCACACUCUGUUUCUGAGUUGAACCAUCUCUACCCUCAGUCCCCACAGCUGAGAUGGGAACAAGGCCUCCGGGCCAGGGCAGGACUUACCGGCUUUAACUUCAUUCAGAUGAUCUUCCGUCAUGAUGCUCUCCAUGCAGGGGACCAGGGACCCUUGAGCAUAAUCUGAGAGGCUAAGCGCAGUGCCUGACACAGAGAAGAGGAUCAAUCAACGUUUGCGGCAUAAGCCAAUGAAUGCAUGCAUGGACGAAAGGAUGGAUGAAAAACUGCAAGUGAAUUGGGCGAAGGUACUAAAAGAAACAUGGCUUUACAAGGUGGAGGGCUGGGAACGUCAUCCUCUCCAAGCCUCUCUGCAGUAGGGUCUCCUGAUCCUUGAAGGGUGUGUGGAUAUUUCAGGGAGCGGAGGGGAGGGGGGUAGCUGAGAGGAGAAAGCAUGCCAUCAGAAGGGUCCUAUGGGGGGACCCUGAGCGAGGGGAAUCUAUGGUUUUUCCCCCAGAAAGGCAGAGGUCGGGACUGUGGAAAGAAGGAUGAAGGUGACUAACACUGAAGGAGUACCUUUAUCUGCCAGUGUUCACACACGCAAAAAAAAUUCUCAUCCGGUCCAUGAAGUAGGAGUUGAUCCCCAUCUUACCGAUGAUCUUACAGAUCUUACAGAGGAGCCUCAGUGGGAGUAAAUGACUCAGUUGGGGUCACACAGAAAGGGGAUCAUGGAGCUGAGAUCCUAGCUCACUUUUCCACUGUGCAGCUUGGCGCCUCCUGCCGAGGUCGACAGCAAGCUCCUGCUGGGCCUGGACCCCACCGUACUCAGCGGGGACACAGCACUUCCGCAUACAGAUGCCAAGGUUGUGACCUUGGCUCACUUCCCAAGCAGUGAUCUCAGAGGAGGGGACACCUUUCUAAUUUAUACCAAGGCCGUCUGCUGGCUAAGGCUUGCACCCAAGGGGAGGCAUCCACCCAGUGCCAGAAGGGCCGCAGCUUCCUUCCAAGGGGAGGAAGCAGUAGGACUAGUUCUGCUAGGGCAGGUUACCUAUGAACAUGACCGAGGACUUCCGGAGGGAGGCCCUGGAACUCUUGGUGUACUCCAGGCUCUGGCUGAGGAACGUGAAGGCACUGUCUCGAUGGGUGUCCACCUGGGACAAAGAGAAACCUGAGAGUGCUGGGCCCUCAGAGGGACUACCCAUCCACCCCUCCCAAAGCUAGGAACGGGGACCAUGUCAGGCAGUCGGGUCCUGGCUCCUUGCCUCCUAAACAUCUCUGCUACCCAUUCUGGACUCUCCCAGAGGCUAGGCCUCAUGUUCUCUUAGCUGAUUGCAACAGUCAUUUCAAUGGUCCUUCUGUCUUGGUUGUCUCUUCUUCCAAUCCACCCACCUGCUACAGCCGGAAGGUAAGUUCUAAAAUGCAAGUCCAGGGACUUCCCUGGUGGCACAGUGGUUAAGAAUCCACCUGCCAAUGCAGGGGACAUGGGUUCAAGCCCUGGUCUGGGAAGAUCCCACAUGCCGCAGAGCAACUAAGCCCAUGCACCACCACUACUGAGCCUGUGCUCUAGAGCCCUCGAGCCACAACUGCUGAGCCCACGUGCCACAACUACUAAAGCCCGUGCGCCUAGAGCCCAUGCUCUGCAGCAAGAGAAGCCACCACAAAGAGAAGCCCACGCGCCGCAAUGAAGAGUAGCCCCCACUCGCCACAACUAGAGAAAGCCCACACGCAGCAAUGAAGACCCAACACAGCCAAAUAUAAAUUAAAAAUAAAUAUAUUUUAAAAAAUAAAAUAAAUGCAAGUCCAGCCAGAGCUGAGAAUGGACAUGGCAUGCGAGGGACAUGACUAAGGAGACAGGUUUGACCAAGGUAAAGGAUUCAAGUUACAGAGCAGUGGGGAAUAAACUAGAGACUUAGGAGGGUGUUAAAAGUCCUUAAAAUACAGAUAGGAAUAGGGCUGCCUUAUGCAUUAGAAAAUACGAAGCCAGCACUUAUUCUUAAUAGGGCAAUGACAAAGCAAUGUCCUGGGCAAAAUAGUCUGACAGUGAUGUUCAGGUUGGGUGUGAUCAAGUAGAAACUAGGGGGCAGGCAAUCUGCUAAGAGACUGUUGAGGGAGAUGAAGAGAAGUCUUAUCUGAUCACUCUCCUGUUGACAAUCUGCAUGUCAGGGAGUAAACUCCUGGGCCUGGUGGGCAAAUCAGUGUCAACUUCCAUCCCUACCUCCAUGCACACCAUGCUCCGGUCCCAGUCGUGGCCCAGCUCUCCCCAGAUCUGUACCUGGUACAAGCCAUUGCUCCUGACUGGAGUGCCUUUCCCUCUUUCCUUCCUGAUGAGUUCUCUCUCAUUCUUUGGUGCUCAGCUCAGAAACCAGCUCCUCCCCGAAGCUUUCCACAAGCCUCAGGCAAAGCUGAUCCCACCACUCUUGACGUUUCCGUAGCAUGUUGCACAGCCUUUGUCAUGGCACCUAUGACAUUGGCCUAUAAUUAUUUGUACCUGUCUCCCCCACUGAAUCUGGUGUUCCCCCAAAAGAAGGGGCCAGCUCACUCAGCUCAGAGUCCUCAGUACCCUGGACAGAGCUUGGCGUUGGAUGAAUGAAUGACUAGGUUACGGACCCCUUCUUAAAGCUAAGGCUAGAGGUUGCCCUUCAUAUGAGCAGAGGUGCGGCUGCCUGGAGAGCAAAGAAGAGACUGAGAAUCCGGAAGGGUUUAAUGCAGAGGUCACAAGCUGGCAGCCCACAGGCCACAAGUGGCUGGCAGGGCAGCAGCCAGCACAGUGUUUUAAAUAAGCUAAAUUGAUUGUUAAUUAAUGUCUUAUAAAAAUCUAGAUUUUCUUGUGAAACUGGAGGCCCUGGUGAGAGUGGGCUGCAUGGUGAGCUGGAGCUCUCCACCUGUGCUUUCAACAGAGCCUGGGGGGACUUCCCUGGUGGUCCAGUGGGCUGGCUGGCAUCCAAUGACAAGGCAAUCCACAACCUCAAGACUUUCUUCAAGGGACAGAACCAGAAACUGACAGACGGCUCGGUCUAUGUGGAAACCUGACCCCUAGUUCCAAUGUGAGGAAUCUCAGCAUAGUGUUGGCUGAGACUUCCCCUGAAACUACACUGCAGCUUGACUCCUCCCCCUGCCACUCCUGCUCUCUGCCCUUCCUUCCACAGGGACUGAUCCCAAGGGUGCUCCCUAAUAAACCUCCUGCAUGCCAAUCUCUGCCUCAGAGUCUGCAUCCUGGGGGACGCGGCCCAUAACAACAGGGAAGGUAGAUGGGACUAGAUGGCAAAGCUUCCCAGAUUGUCUGUGGAGGAACCAGGCUGCAUCCUGCAGUGCAGCAUUUCACUGUAUAUAUGGCUCUCUUCUACGGCAGGAUGUUCUCAGGUGUUAUCUCGAAAGGGAGUUCUGUGGUUAAAUAACUUUGGGAAACCAUGAAUUAACCAUGAAACAUUUCCUCAGCACAGAACAUCUCAGAGCUUUAAUGUACCGAUGGCACUGCAAAUCCCCAAGAGGAAGAUGACGAUGCAGUAUUUCCCAAACUUAUUUGUCUUGGAACUUCUUUUCUCUCCUGUGGGGCAUAUCUUGUAGGACUGGUGUUGCAAAGAAUACACACUGGGAAUUACUGUUGUAGAAAAGGGAGCCAAUGGAGCCCUUCAAGAAGGGAUAUAAUAUAGACAGACUGUGUUUUAACUAGACCAUUUUGGUGGCCUGAAUGGGGAGUGGACUGGAGGGAAUGAGAUUCAAGGCUUGGGGACCCAAUGGAUGGCUGGACCAAUGGCCCUGCUGAGAGACAUCCAUGACCUGAACUAAGGGUAAUGAUAGUGGGGAGGGGGAGGGAAAGACAGACUCAGAGGUAUUAAGGAUAUUUAAGAUUGAUCAAAGGUGAAGGUGAGGGAGAGGAAUAAGCCUCAGUUAGUUUUAGGUUUCAGCUUUUGGGGAUCUAGAGGGACAGAGCAGAACUGACAUGGGAUAGGCACAAGUUCAGAAGAGAUGCUGAGCUUAAGGUGUGUGUGGUUCAUUGGGGGAGAUGUCGGUAAGCCAUGGAGAGGGAACACCAGAAGUGGAGAGAGGAGUGAGAGACAAAGAUGAACUUCCAGGAGCCAACGACUCGUAGGUGGUCAUGGAAUUGUCAGUAAGGAUGCUCAGGUAAAAAGAAAAAAGAGGCAAGGAAAGAACCUGCCACUUCCAACACACUCAGAAGGACCCACUGUAGUCUUGGAAGCACUCACAAGGUACUUGCAAAUUUUGGCCACCAUCUGCUGCUGGUUGUCCCAGGGCUUCCGACUGUAAGCUUUUUUUGGCAAUUCCCAAGCCAUGAAGCAAGAACAGUGGAACAGGGUCUUCACACAUUUCUGGGGGCCAGCAGGAAGAGAACACCAGAGCUGUGGAAUUCCAGGACAGCCGGAACGUGUUCCCCCCAAAAAACUGUAUGAAACUGGAUUUUGGAAAAGCAAUUCCUAUUUGAAACAUGCAGGUGAAGUUGGCUGUUUUGAAGAGAAAUACUGACAUGGGUACUUUUGGUAAACAGACUUGGCCAGACAUAAAUAAACUGUCCGGUGGUGGAUCAUCUGUGAUUCUAGGUUGGGUUCAGGGCCGUGCACUCACCUGGCUC